rnacentral:rRNA from 1 species
AGCACAGGAGGGGUACGGCUGGAAAAACCGCCGUGCAACCCAAAGGUGUGACGCAUACCGAACUAAAGUAGGGAAAUGUGUGAGCCGGCUGCCGAGAAAAGCCGCUAUUGUUUGUACUGUACCCGUACCGUAAACCGACACAGGUGGAUGAGGAGAGAAUCCUAAGGCCGACGGAAGAAGCAUUGCUAAGGAACUCGGCAAAAUGACCCUGUAACUUCGGGAGAAAGGGUGCCUCGAAAGAGGCCGCAGAGAAUAGGCCCAAGCAACUGUUUAGCAAAAACACAGGUCUAUGCAAAACCGCAAGGUGAAGUAUAUGGGCUGACGCCUGCCCGGUGCUGGAAGGUUAAGGGGAGAUGUCAGGAGACGAAGCAUCGAACUUAAGCCCCAGUAAACGGCGGCCGUAACUAUAACGGUCCUAAGGUAGCGAAAUUCCUUGUCGGGUAAGUUCCGACCCGCACGAAAGGCGUAAUGAUUUGGGCGCUGUCUCGGCAAUGCAUCCGGUGAAAUUGAAGUGCCAGUGAAGAUGCUGGCUACCCGCGCCAGGACGGAAAGACCCCAUGGAGCUUUACUCCAGCUUGAUACUGGGAUUCGGUAUUGUAUGUACAGGAUAGGUGGGAGGCUGAGAAAUGGUGACGCCAGUCGCCAUGGAGCCGCUGUUGGGAUACCACCCUUGCAGUACUGGAUUUCUAACCAGCAGCCGUGAUCCGGCUGGGGGACAAUGUCAGGUGGGGAGUUUGACUGGGGCGGUCGCCUCCGAAAGGGUAUCGGAGGCGCUCAAAGGUUCCCUCAGAAUGGUCGGAAACCAUUCGAAGAGUGCAAAGGCAGAAGGGAGCUUGACUGCGACACCGACGGGUGGGGCAGGUACGAAAGUAGGACCUAGUGAUCCGGUGGUAUUAAGUGGGAAUGCCAUCGCUCAACGGAUAAAAGCUACCCUGGGAUAACAGGCUUAUCACUCCCAAGAGUUCACAUCGACGGAGUGGUUUGGCACCUCGAUGUCGGCUCAUCGCAUCCUGGGGCUGUAGUAGGUCCCAAGGGUUGGGCUGUUCGCCCAUUAAAGCGGUACGCGAGCUGGGUUCAGAACGUCGUGAGACAGUUCGGUCCCUAUCCGGCGUGGGCGUAGGAUAUUUGAGAGGAGCUGACCUUAGUACGAGAGGACCGGGUUGGACUGACCUCUGGUGCACCGGUUGUCAUGCCAAUGGCACAGCCGGGUAGCCAAGUCGGGAAGGGAUAAACGCUGAAGGCAUCUAAGCGUGAAGCCCCCCUCAAGAUGAGAUAUCCCCCGCAUAAGCGGUAAGACCCCUUGAAGACGACGAGGUAGAUAGGGCAGAGGUGGAAGUGCAGUAAUGUAUGGAGCUGACUGCUACUAAUAGGUCGAAGGCUUAACCAA